GAGAUAGUGAGCAGAGAGAGGAGACAGUAUAUGACGGUGCUCUCGCGCCAGGCAGCGUCAGUGAGGGCCGGGCGGCGGGCGAGAAAGUGAUGGCUUGAGGAAAAGAAACCAAAAGAAAUUGUUUUGGAAUGAACCUGAGAGUGCAGAACAGGAGUUGUUUUAGAAACAAGACGAGUUUCGCUGAGACUAGUGACAGUGCACAUGGCGGCGAAAGUGACCAGUAUGGCAAACAGACCACGAGAGAAAAGUCUGAGGGACACUCCGAAAUCAAAACCCGUUAGCAGGAGAGUGAUCAAGGACUAGAAGUGCCUGGGUUGUGACUGGUUGUACCUGAGCCCUCCCGGCAUGGCCUCGUAUGCUGAGCUGGCCUUCGAGUGGUCCAUGCUGUGCCAGGAAUGCACCGGCUGCUGGACCGACACAGAGAGCAACGACAGGCAGGGGUUCCUCUUUGUUCCUUGCCUGCUGCGUGGAGAUUGACUGGUGUGAAGGUUGAGGCAGCUGUGGAGAACCGAACGUGUGGUGACUGGCGCUAAGCAGAGCGUAUAUAGUUUUUAGCAACAGCUGUGAGACUGCAAGGAAGGUGUGGCUGCUUUAUAGAGUCCGUGUAUUACCACGAUGUACCUCCCUGACUUGCUUCUACGGGAAUCUGUGUGGCUUGGAGUGAACGGAAGCACCCUAAAGUUAAUUAAGCUGAUGAUUACUGCGGUUUUUCCUUUGGCUUUAUAAAAUGGUCUGAUGCAGGUUUAGAGAAUGAUUUUAAAGUGACCGAGUAUUUGAUCUUCUUCCCCCUGUAAAAUCACUCAGGGUAAGUCAAAUGAGUAAUGCCAUGCACUGUCUAAACAAUUGCUCUCCUCAUGAAAGUACUUGAUUAAAAAGCGCCGUUUGUCGUUCGUUCAUCUUCGUCAUAAAGUGCACAGCGUCACAACUUAACGUCAUGAGCAGUUAGCAGUUUUCAGUUCAGCUGUAUCGUGGAAUAAUUACUGGCUGUAACUUGAAGCGAAUGUUUUGAUACAGAUACACGAGCCAUGUGGCAGUAACUAGUGCUCCACAUACAAUAGAUUGCUGGAAGAUAUAGGUGAGCGAUACUGUGUAGCGAAAGUUGUGUGUAUGGCUGGCAAGAGGGAGGGGUGGAGGUCCAUGAAUGCUGACGUCACAGGACAAGACUGACACCUUGGCAAGCAAAUAUCUACGUGUUCUGAAGCAGUGGGCAGCAUUCAUGAAAGGUUCCAAUCACCCUCGCUCUCGAACAAGUAGUGGCUGUGGCUUGCGAUGAAUGCUUGAAUGGAGUUUGAAUGAGCUUGAGGCAAUAACUGGUGCGAUGUGUAAUUGUCUAGAUGAGAUAGCUAAACUCUGAGGCGGUGGUGACUGGUGGGAUAAUCACCCGUCUCAUAACUACAGUGACGUUGAAGUAAUACCGUCUAACCCUCCACUGAACAUCCGGUGUGGUUCAUAUAAAUGUACGUGUAAUAAAGUCUCAUAAUGUGGGAUUGCUGUGGUCGUCAUCAUGUUACUCUCAGUCUGCGGUCGCCUGGUGGGUUCCCUCGCAGUGGUUACCUGAGGGUGCUCGUCGGUGUUUGCCUGUCUUGCUUGCCUUGCGAAACUUAUUUCAGAAACAAAACAAAUAGACGGACUGAUUUACCUUAUUCAUUUAUUCAUUAAUUUAUGCAUUUGAUGUACAUAAGUGGUUUUCAAACUCUGGUGUUGCUCCCCCCAUUGCUUAGUCUCCCUCUUCAAAGCAAGUUUCCAGUGGCUCCAUACACUCAUCUAAAAAAUGAUAGAUGAUCAACUCACUAGAACUCAUAUUAUUAUAUUUGACAAACAAAAGCCGUUAUAGUAUUUGUAAAAUGAAGUUAUAUUACACACAAAAGAGAAAAAGGUAAAUAUUUCAGACAAUGAAGGAUGAUUUAUUUGUGACAGAUUGCAUAAGCUUUGCGACACACGGCUCUUUCAUUCAUUGCCAUAAAGACAAUCAAUGUCGAGGUUAACACUGUUUCUCCACCACGAGAAAUUCUAAUUCAUGGUGGAGUUGAAGAAGAACAAAUUGCAUACCAUUCUCAACAUUUAGUAUUUUCCUUUUCUUUCACAAGGUCAAGAGGUGACAAGCUUGCCUCACAAAGUAUGUAGAAGAAAAGGUCAAAUCUAAGCGCUAUUUUACAAUAACAUUUCUGUAAAGAUAACCCAUAAGAAUAAUUUUGGGCAGUUCAGCUGACUUAUACUGCCCCGUAACUUCUUAAUUGCAUCAAGAACUUCCUUCACAUCUGUAACAAAAAAGAUUCUAGAUUGAUCUCCAUUCAAAACAUUUCUUGCGACGCUAAAGUGUAAAAACUCAUCACAUGAUGUUCAGAGGACAAAAGAGACUAUUCCAGUCCACAGAGUAUCUCUCUUUGAUCGCGGGAAGGAAACAUGCAUUACAACUUACACUCCUCAUGACUGAGCGAAUCUCACAGACAUUACUUACGUCACAAGACCUAUAGCCAAAUUACUGUGUUGCGAGUGUGACACAGACGGGAAUGCUUCACAAUAAACCUUGAACUACUUGUUUAGAAUUAUAACAACGUCAAUAAAUUCUUAUAGUAGUAUUCAUAAUUAUAUGUAAUAAAAAGCUAAAUGAUUAAAAUUACGCAAGGAU